rnacentral:tRNA from 1 species
AAUCUUAAUUAUAUUUAAAUUGCAAAUUUAAAUGAGAUUUAAAAUCUAAGAUUU